AAAUUGCUGUUCAGCCAUUGCUGGUGAAAAAACAAAUUUGUUUACAAAACAAAUCGUAUCUUUGGGUGACAAAUGCAUUCGUUGGCUAAAAAGUUGUUCGCGUAAUACUGUAGCUAGAUAUCUACAAUAAGCGGUCGAUACAUAAUAGUGUAGAAGGAUUUGUUUAGUAUAUAUAUAUAUAUUUUUUAGUAGUACUAUCAGGCGAUGGUGACAAAAAUAACACUGAUUGUAGCUCCACUGAUUUCGCUCAGGGUGGAGGAGAAUGCUGUGCAUAUACCGGGAAGGAGAUUACCAGAUCCAGAAGAUCCGGAAAGGGAUGUUACAUUGGUUUUGCAUGAAGGCUAGAGCAAAAGGAGGUUGACAAUGAUUGCAACAGGAAAGUAACCAGUUGCGUUGGAUUUUAGAGGCGAAUUAACUGAAAAGUUUAAAGCAUCUUAAAUUAAACAUCAUCAUCAUUGCGUUGGAUGUUUUAAUUUUUGCGUUUUUUUGUAAACACUGUUGCAAUACUGCUGAUAUUUGAGUUUUUAAAAUUAGA